AUUGAACGCUGGCGGCAGGCCUAACACAUGCAAGUCGAGCGAGCGGCGGACGGGUGAGUAAUGCCUAGGAAUCUGCCUGGUAGUGGGGGAUAACGUCCGGAAACGGUAGCUAAUACCGCAUACCAUCGGAUGUGCCCAGGUGGGAUUAGCUAGUAGGUGGGGUAAAGGCUUACCUAGGCGACGAUCCCUAGCUGGUCUGAGAGGAUGACCAGCCACACUGGAACGGAGAAACGGUCCAGACUCCUACGGGAGGCAGCAGUGGGGAAUAUUGCACAAUGGGCGCAAGCCUGAUGCAGCCAGGCAGAGUGUAUGAAGAAGGCCUUCGGGUUGUAAAGUACUUUCAGCGGGGAGGCGUUACCCGCAGAAGAAGCACCGGCUAACUCCGUGCCAGCCGCCGCGGUAAUUC
rnacentral:rRNA from 1 species